rnacentral:misc_RNA from 1 species
AAGUCGUAACAAGGUUUCCGUCAAGCAGUUAGUGUCUGAAAGUGUCACUAACGUUAGUGUCUGAAAGUGUCACUAACAUGUGUAAGGAUGACGCAGUCACGAUCGUUGGAGGCCCACACGGCCGACGUCACCGGGCGCAAGCCCCCUUAUCACACCUGCUCUAUCUAUGGUGAUCCUGCGGGAAGUCCUGCGGUCGAACGCCGAAACCGAACAACUGUUAACAAUGGAUAUCUUGGUUCUC